ACUUGGGGGUAAGUGACCAAAAAAAAAGCUGCCCGUCCAUAGAUAGGACGGGAGCAAAUCUGCUCGUCCCUAGGCAGAUAGGGCGAGAGGAAAAAUGGCCAUUUCAAGAAAAUGGAGAAGAUUGAUACAGUAUGUUUGUGUCUUGUUUUGUCUUAAAAUGUUGUAUUGUCUUUGUGAUGAAAAUAUGGAAGGGGUGUUAAGUAAAUUACUAAGGGAAGAAGGCACCCCAGUGGAACCAAGAAUAGUUAGGGCAUGUGUUGAUGGAAGCCCAGGAACUCUAGUCAGAAAGAAACAGAAAGUUCAGAAGAAGAAAGAUUAUCAGAGGAGGAAGGAUUAUCAGGAAAAAAGUUGCAGCAAAAGGCUAUUACUAAAUACUUUUCGUUACCGGAGGGUGCAUGAAGCGGAGAGGCGGCUGCCGAGUGUGCAAGCCGGUCACAGCGCAGCAAGGAUUUUCCAAGAGGCGGCGGCAACUGGCCCUUCCCCGCCUCCUGGCCUGGGAGCUGGCUCUUCCACUGCCGCGAGCCCAAAUCUAGACCUGACCUGGAGGCACAGUCUCGCAGGCUCUUGCUCCCUGUGUCCGGAAGCAGUUUGAGUCCGGGACACUCCCCAGGGCCAUCUGGGGCUGCCCAGGCACUACAGCCAGCAGAAGACACUACUGGUGUCCCUGAUGUUUGGUCAUUUUCAAUGCCAAUAACUAAGCUACAAUGGUUCUCCCAC
rnacentral:lncRNA from 1 species